rnacentral:rRNA from 1 species
GACGAACGCUGGCGGCGUGCUUAACACAUGCAAGUCGAACGGAAAGGCCCUGCUUUUGUGGGGUGCUCGAGUGGCGAACGGGUGAGUAACACGUGAGUAACCUGCCCUUGACUUUGGGAUAACCUCAGGAAACUGGGGCUAAUACCGGAUAGGAGCUCCUGAUGCAUGUUGGGGGUUGGAAAAUUUCGGCGGUUAGGGAUGGACUCGCGGCUUAUCAGCUUGUUGGUGGGGUAGUGGCUUACCAAGGCUUUGACGGGUAGCCGGCCUGAGAGGGUGACCGGCCACAUUGGGACUGAGAUACGGCCCAGACUCCUACGGGAGGCAGCAGUGGGGAAUAUUGCACAAUGGGCGGAAGCCUGAUGCAGCAACGCCGCGUGCGGGAUGACGGCCUUCGGGUUGUAAACCGCUUUCGCCAGGGAAGAAGCGAGAGUGACGGUAAUGGGUAAAGAAGCACCGGCUAACUACGUG